rnacentral:rRNA from 1 species
GACGUAGGAGGCGAGCGUUGUCCGGAUUCAUUGGGCGUAAAGAGCGCGCAGGCGGCUUGGUAAGUCGGAUGUGAAAUCCCGAGGCUCAACCUCGGGUCUGCAUCCGAUACUGCCCGGCUAGAGGUAGGUAGGGGAGAUCGGAAUUCCUGGUGUAGCGGUGAAAUGCGCAGAUAUCUGGAGGAAUACCGGUGGCGAAGGCGGCAUCCUGGACCGACAUUGACGCUGAGGAGCGAAAGCUAGGGGAGCAAACGGG